rnacentral:rRNA from 1 species
AUACGUAGGGGGCGAGCGUUGUCCGGAUUUAUUGGGCGUAAAGGGCGUGUAGGCGGCCUGUUAAGUCAGGGGUGAAACUCCGCAGCUCAACUGCGGACCUGCCUCUGAAACUGAUGGGCUUGAGUGCUCUAGAGGGCAGUGGAAUUCCCGGUGUAGCAGUGAAAUGCGUAGAGAUCGGGAGGAACACCAGUGGCGAAGGCGGCUGCCUGGGGAGUAACUGACGCUGAGGCGCGAAAGCUGGGGGAGCAAACGGGAUUAGAUACCCCGGUAGUCCCAGCCGUAAACGAUGAGUGCUAGGUGUGAGGGGUAUCGACCCCCCUCGUGCCGGAGUCAACGCAAUAAGCACUCCGCCUGGGGAGUACGGCCGCAAGGUUGAA